rnacentral:tRNA from 1 species
AGCCUAUUAGCUCAGUUAGUUAGAGUGUUGUGCUAAUAAGGCAAAGGCUCAGGUUCGAAACCUACAUGGGAUA